GGCUUAGUGGUCCAAUGGUAAAGCGAUUGUCGCAGAACAAUAGGGUCCUGGGUUCGAUCUCCAAUGGGAUCG
rnacentral:tRNA from 1 species